rnacentral:lncRNA from 1 species
ACCACCCUCGCGGUUUUUUUUUGUUUUUUUUUUUAAAUCGGCCUUUCCUGGGCGGGACUUCAAGCCCCGCCCCGACGUCCCGCCCUGCAGCCGCUCCGGGGCGGGGCUCCCUUCAGCCCUCGGCUGCCCUUUUCCCUGCGGCCUCUGCCCGGAGUAGCACCCGCUGCGGAGCUCCGAACACGUGCGGAGUGGCCAGCUAUGGACUUAAGGCAGAUAUGACCCCAGGGAUGCAUGGUCACCAGACACUGGAUCUUGCAAGACUGCCAUUAGAGCCUCACUUUUGUACCUCCUGUCUCUGA